rnacentral:rRNA from 1 species
CUACGGGUUGCACCAGUGGGGAAUAUUGCACAAUGGGCGAAAGCCUGAUGCAGCAACGCCGCGUGAGGGACGACGGCCUUCGGGUUGUAAACCUCUUUUAGCAGGGAAGAAGCGAAAGUGACGGUACCUGCAGAAAAAGCACCGGCUAACUACGUGCCAGCAGCCGCGGUAAUACGUAGGGUGCAAGCGUUGUCCGGAAUUAUUGGGCGUAAAGAGCUCGUAGGCGGUUUGUCGCGUCUGCUGUGAAAAUCCGAGGCUCAACCUCGGACCUGCAGUGGGUACGGGCAAACUAGAGUGCGGUAGGGGAGAGUGGAAUUCCUGGUGUAGCGGUGGAAUGCGCAGAUAUCAGGAGGAACACCAAUGGCGAAGGCAGAUCUCUGGGCCGUAACUGACGCUGAGGAGCGAAGGCGUGGGGAGCGAACAGGAUUAGAUACCCCAGUAGUC